rnacentral:tRNA from 1 species
GGUUUCGUGGUGUAGUUGGUUAUCACGUCAGUCUAACACUCUGAAGGUCUCCGGUUCCAACCCGGGCGAAGCCG